UACGGAGGGCGCGAGCGUUACUCGGAAUUACUGGGCGUAAAGCGCGCGUAGGCUGUUGUGUAAGUUGGGGGUGAAAUCCCACGGCUCAACCGUGGAACAGCCCUUGAUACUGCGCGACUUGAAUCCGGGAGAGGGUGGCGGGAUUCCAGGUGUAGGAGUGAAAUCCGUAGAUAUCUGGAGGAACAUCAGUGGCGAAGGCGGCCACCUGGACCGGUAUUGACGCUGAGGCGCGAAAGCGUGGGGAGCAAACAGG
rnacentral:rRNA from 1 species